GUGUGUGUGUGUGUGUGUGUGUGUAUAUAUACUUAGAUUAUAUAUAUAUAUAUAUAUAUAUAUAUAUAUAUAUAUAUAUAUAUAUAUAUAUAUAUAUAAUCUAAGUAUAUAUACACACACACACACACACACACAC